GACGAACGCUGGCGGCGCGCUUAACACAUGCAAGUCGAACGGAAAGGCCUGCUUUCCCUUGUGGAUUGCGGGUACUCGAGUGGCGAACGGGUGAGUAACACGUGAGUGAUCUGCCCCCAACUUGGGUAUAAGCCUGGGAAACUGGGUCUAAUUCCCGAUAGGACUGCAGGGUGGUGCCUGUGGUGGAAAACGAUUUUCUAGUGGUUGGGGAUGAGCUCGCGGCCUAUCAGCUUGUUGGUGGGGUAAUGGCCUACCAAGGCGGCGACGGGUAGCCGGCCUGGGAGGGUGGACGGCCACAUUGGGACUGAGAUACGGCCCAGACUCCUACGGGAGGCAGCAGUGGGGAAUAGUGCACAAUGGGCGGAAGCCUGAUGCAGCGACGCCGCGUGGGGGAUGACGGCCUUCGGGUGGUAAACUCCUUUCGACCGCGAGGAAGCCACCUGGUUGGAAGGGUGGUGACGGUAGUGGUAGAAGAAGCACCGGCUAACUACGUG
rnacentral:rRNA from 1 species